rnacentral:rRNA from 1 species
CCUACGGGAGGCAGCAGUAAGGAAUAUUGGUCAAUGGGCGCAAGCCUGAACCAGCCAUGCCGCGUGCAGGAAGACGGCCCUAUGGGUUGUAAACUGCUUUUGAACAAGAGAAAACCUCGGUACGUGUACCGAGCUGAUAGUAUUGUUAGAAUAAGCAUCGGCUAACUUCGUGCCAGCAGCCGCGGUAAGACGAAGGAUGCAAGCGUUAUCCGGAUUCAUUGGGUUUAAAGGGUGCGUAGGCGGCCUGAUAAGUCAGUGGUGAAAUCUCUCAGCUUAACUGAGAAACUGCCAUUGAUACUGUCGGGCUUGAGUACAGAUGAUGUGGGCGGAAUAUGACAUGUAGUGGUGAAAUACUUAGAUAUGUCAUAGAACACCGAUUGCGAAGGCAGCUCACAAAACCUGUAACUGACGCUGAGGCACGAAAGUGCGGGGGAUCAAACAGGAUUAGAUACCCUGGUAGUCCGCACCGUAAACGAUGAUUACUCGUUGUUGGCAAUAUGACGUCGNGCGACCGACGACGAAGACGAGUAAGUAAGUACACCGUCGGGUAGGGUACGGCCGGCCGACCGGUACGGAAACGUACGAAACGGAAAGUUAGUACGGACGUUAGGAGACGGUUAGGCCGACGGACGACCGACGACGGGGAGGGUUAGGGAGG